CUAAGACCAGUGCAGACAGUGCUUUUACAAGCAGCCCUGUCUUCCUAGAUGAUAAAAGCAGACGGGGCACAGAACUGAAGUUUUCAUUGGUUAAAAAUCUUCCAUUGCACAAGUUAGCAAGCUGGACAAUUUGGAUAAAGUAGACAGAAAUCAUAGAAACAGAGAAUAUCCUGAGUUGGAGGGGGCCCAUGAGGAUCAUCAAGUCCAACUCCUGACUCCACAAAGGACCGUCCAAAAAUCAGACCACAUGCCUGAUGGGAUGAAGACAGUCAUUGGCAGACACCUGCUCUUUGCCACUGCUGGAAGGAAGAGACAUGGAUCAAUGGACUUUUAAUUUGACUUGCUACAGCAGUUCUUAAUUUCAUUUGUAUUAUUCAAAUACAUAAGGCCCAAAUUCUGAACAGAGCCCAGACUUUACAGCCAGUCACAAAUGUUGAUCCAUUUGACCCAAUUGAAAUAUACUGUUCUUCAAACCUUCAGGUAUCUGUUUAUGCUGGAGUCAUGAGGUCAGACAAAGGCAGCAGAUAUCUCAGAAAGCUUUACUCUUUCUUUCUCCACUGACCUUUGUCUGAAAAAAACUAGUUUGGCAUAACAAAGAUUGAUAUGUUGCCUACGGAAAUUUGGAUAGAAAUCAGCUUGGCUAAUAUUAGCUGCUCAAGGUUAGGUGUGCAGCCUGAAGUCCUCAUUUAGCCUCCCUCUGUGGCCAGGAAUGAGAGACAGGUUCCUUCACUCUAGGGCACGCCAUUCAUCCUAUCCACUGACUUAUGAAGAGAGCAAGAGUAACUCAGACUAGAUGGUUAUAUGCAGUUCUUCCUCUCUGUUGCUCCUUCAUUUGGUUUCCUUCCUUUAUAGGAAGUUUGCUUACCACCUGCUAUGUGUGCAUAUCUGUGUGUCUUGAGUGGAUUGAAUUAUCCAGUAUUAGCAUCACACACAAAACCCCACUCAUGACAUAAUGAAAUUUUCCCAUGCAAACCUACAGCAAGAGAUCACAGAGCACUCUGCAUGCCUUUGAGCCAUUUUUUUGCAAAUGGUUACAGGAUGAUCAAUUAGUUUAUUUCACCAAAAGGAGUGCAGAAGAUAUGUAUCCCAUAGUGCUAAUUCUUUUCUAUGAAAAGAGGUGUGUUGUGGGGGUGGAGGGGUGAGUCUGCCAGCUCAGACUUUCUUUCAUUCUUUAGAUGAAGAUGUCAUGUAAAUCUCAAAGUGUCACUCUUUCCAACAAUAUCAUCAAUACAGUCAGAAAAUAGGAUAGUUACUUAUCCUUCAGCACGGUUCAGUUUGCACUGCUUGUCUUUGUCCAGCACAUACUGGCUGAAGUUUGCAUCCUAUGCAACAUCAGGCACAUAGCCCCCGAUUACAAGAUAGUGCAUUGCUUGGUAUGUUGAUGUGCAAAUAGAAGCAGCAGCAUCUCAGGUGUUCACUCUGUUUAUUCCCAAACACAAAAGCACUGACUAGGGUUAAAGGACCUGUCAGAUGAAACAGAGGAAUUCAAUUUGUAACAAAAGAAUGUCUUCAGGCAGUUGUUUAGAAAUAUCACCAAGAUACUACAGAUUCCCUUUAUCCUCUGCUGCAAAUGGCAAAGGAAAUUAACUGGCUAAAGACCCAUUGGUGAGCUGAUUACCUAACCCUCAGUAAGUGAAUAUUGAAGUUGCUGAUGUUGCCAAGCAACUGCCUGGGGUUGGCAGCGGCCAGAGCAUACACGAGCACUCACUUGAAGGAGUAUUUUGCAACAAAGGGCAGCUCGAUUUACCACCAUGCACUACCAUGCACAGUUAGCAGGACAGCCAGGUCUGGCCCUGAGGUGCAAGUAGCUCUAUUUUGGUUGUGAGAGAUAUUUGAGAGCCAUUGGAGGUCAGCUGGAGAGAGAUGGAGUAGCAAUUCUCCAAUCAGCACAGUGAGCUUAAAAGGAAAGAUUUUUGCAUCCAAAUAUGGCCUGAAUUUUAAAGUAUCAUAAAUGCAGGACUGAGUUCAGUAGUUUUUCUUAGUGCUGGUAGAUGAAUGAGAAGAUUUAUCAUGCAUAGGACAGAUCUCUGUCACUGAGUUCAAGUGGCAUGAGAUGGUAUGUGUCCUUACACACACCUCUUAUCCUCCAGAGUUGGGUACUUGCCAGUAGGCAAACUGAACUGGGAAGGACUCCUGACUCCUGACAGCUCAUGAGCCUUGGUCAAGAGCCUUUUGGGAGACUGCUGGGCAGCCUUGGCCAGGAACAGAUAGGGCUGUUCAGGAGUUACGCAACUUAUGCCUAGUGCCCAGGAAUGCUCCCUAGCAUGUAUAUUAGUAUAGAAAUAGCUCCUGAUACCACUUCCUCUGUAUUUCUAGACUAGUUUUGCAUUUGUAGAGUGGUGGAGGCCCAAUUCUGCAUGUGUUCUUCUCAGGUGACCACUAGAUCCCAUUUGGCCUGAAGUUGUCACCAUCUUCAGAUAACUGAUACAACACAGCAAUAUUGUGUUACUCCAGCAUAAAGACUGCGAGGCUAAGCGGAGUCUUCCAAUGCACCCUUGCUCUGAAUGCAAGUCUCGGGUACUUGUGAACCUCUCUCUGGCAAUAAUGAACCAUAUGACAUUGGGAAAGUUAUUUAAUCUCUCUGCUUAGUCUUCUCAUCCCAAAUGGAUGCCUCAUCGGCAUGCUUUCAGGAUUCAUUAUUUAACAGAUAGCACUGCUAUUUAAUCUUUAUGUUAUAGUAGCAUCUGGAGGUCUCAGCUGAGAGGCAAUAUAUAAAUACUAUGUGAAAGACAAUUUCUUCACAAAGACCUGCCAUUGUAAGCAGAAAAGCAGCACUGCAGGCUGAUUUGCUUUAAAUCACGCAGGUGAGUAGUAUCAAAGCAGCAUCUCCCACCUAACUUGUGACUGCUGAAAUAAUAGAAUUGAUACACUCUUUACAUAUAUGAAGAAUAGUAUGUACCAUAGGAUAAUGUGUACUUUAGGAAAUAAGAGUUUUCCUGAGGAUAGACAGAGAUAAAAAUACAGCUUAAAGCCGAUAUAUGUUUGUAAGACAUCAGUGAAUACCUCUUAAAACUGUUUCUUAAAGAGGCCUACUUCAUGAAAAUGUGAUUUGAAGUGAAACCGAUUAUGUAGAUUUCAUAUCAGUUCUGCAUACUGAUGUUCCUCAGUGACGUAGGAUAUAUUACCUUUUCAAGAUAUUUUUCCACUAAAAAUGUAAGAUCUGUUGAAACUGUUUUGUAAGUUGAGGUCUGGUUUUUUUUCUGUGAGGUAUAUAUCAGGAAAUGCUUUAGAAAAAACAAAACCUAAACAAUCAAUACAUUUGACCAAUCAAACAUUUCAAUUUUUCUUUCAAAACACUUUUUAAGAAUGGUUUAAAAAGCUCAGAAUGGUUAUUGAAUUUUGUUUUAAGUUGACUAAAACAUAUGAGGUUACAUGUUUUAUGUUGAACAUAAAAUAUUUUUUUCUUUUCUGAAAAUAAUUUGAGACUGACCAGAAAUAUGCUGCAUUUUGAACUACAGCACUGACCUAAAUGUAUUUUAUAGGAUAUUCUUUUCAAAUUUACUUCUUCAGGCAGACUCUGAGUCCUGCGUUCAUGUUUAUCAUUGAUUGUUAAUGACUGUCUGAAUACUUUAUGAUCUCAAUUCAUAAAUAUGUCGCUAGUAAGGAGAGAAAAUGUCUGGAGUAGGAUGCAUGUUCUUAAAAGUUUUCCCAUGCUGGUCCCAGUCCAAACAAGAUAUUGUCCUUUUUCAUUAUAUUUUAUAUAUCUAAUUAAAUUCUAAUUCACAUAAUCACUGUAGACUGCAUUUCUCCUCCUUUG
ensembl:lncRNA